CCUACGAGAGGCAGCAGUGGGGAAUAUUGGACAAUGGGGGGAACCCUGAUCCAGCCAUGCCGCGUGUGUGAAGAAGGCCCUCGGGUUGUAAAGCACUUUCAGUGAGGAAGAACGCCUGGUGGUUAAUACCCAUCAGGAAAGACAUCACUCACAGAAGAAGCACCGGCUAACUCCGUGCCAGCAGCCGCGGUAAUACGGAGGGUGCGAGCGUUAAUCGGAAUGACUGGGCGUAAAGCGCGCGUAGGUGGCUUGAUAAGCCGGUUGUGAAAGCCCCGGGCUCAACCUGGGAACGGCAUCCGGAACUGUCAAGCUAGAGGGCAGGAGAGGAAGGUAGAAUUCCCGGUGUAGCGGUGAAAUGCGUAGAGAUCGGGAGGAAUACCAGUGGCGAAGGCGGCCUUCUGGACUGACACUGACACUGAGGUGCGAAAGCGUGGGUAGCAAACAGGAUUAGAUACCCGUGUAGUC
rnacentral:rRNA from 1 species